ACACGGCAGAGAGGAGAGAGAGAGAGAGAGAGAGAGAGAAAUAGAGUCAGAAAGAAUCUUCUGUUCUUUUCUCGGCCGUGAUUUCAUUGUAUAAAAAAAUGGAAUGAACCCUUUGAUUGAUUGAUUUUGCAAAAGAUGAAGGUACCGCCGCUGUAAGCUGAAGAUGAGUGUACGGCUCUGUCUAUCUAUGGCUAGGGCUAAGGCACGGGUGAUGAAUGAUGAUGUUAUGUUGAUAUUUAUAGGCACAAAGAUGCACCACGUCUCUCUCUCUCUCUCUCUCUCUCUCCCUCUCUCUCUCUCUCUGUCU
rnacentral:miRNA from 1 species